GGCCGCGGGAAUUCGAUUUUCCGGUUGAUCCUGCCGGAGGUCACUGCUAUCGGGGUUCGAUUAAGCCAUGCGAGUUGAGAGGGUUAAGACCCUCGGCGGACUGCUCAGUAACACGUGGAUAACCUGCCCUAAGGUGGAGGAUAACCCCGGGAAACUGGGGAUAAUACUCCAUAGGUUAAAGGUACUGGAAUGUUCUUUAACCGAAAGUUCCGGCGCCUUAGGAUGGAUCUGCGGCCGAUUAGGUUGUUGUUGGGGUAGUGGCCCAACAAGCCUGUAAUCGGUACGGGUUGUGGGAGCAAGAGCCCGGAGAUGGAAUCUGAGACACGAUUCCAGGCCCUACGGGGCGCAGCAGGCGCGAAAACUUUACAAUGCAGGAAACUGUGAUAAGGGAACCCCGAGUGCCCGUAUAUGCGGGCUGUCCGGAUGUUUAAAACGCAUCCGAAGAAAGGGCCGGGCAAGACCGGUGCCAGCCGCCGCGGUAAUACCGGCGGCUCGAGUGGUGGCCACUUUUAUUGGGCUUAAAGCGUUCGUAGCUUGAAUAAUAAGUCUCUUGGGAAAUCUGCAGGCUUAACCUGCAGGCGUUUAAGAGAAACUGUUGUUCUAGGAACCGGAAGAGGUGAGAGUACUCCGGGGGUAGGAGUGAAAUCC
rnacentral:rRNA from 1 species